rnacentral:lncRNA from 1 species
CACCAUGGGCAACAAGCCAAGAAGCAACAACCUCCACGGCCAAGGGGAUGAUCUGCUCUGCGCCGAGGUUCCACUGCCACCCGAUCGGUGCCAACGUAUCAGCGUCGUGGAAUCUGUGGAAUCCACGCCACGGCGACGUCGAGGCCCCACAUGUCGGUCGGUCUCUCCAUGCGACGACUGUGUCGUCCUCCUCGACGGCAUCGCCCACACUACAGUACCAGCCGGCAAGUGCAGUGCAGGAAGGAGAGCUAUGCGCCCAUGCGUGUUGUCUUGUCCCACUGACAACUUGGGCCUCACGUUCCCGUCAAGCGCCGGCGCCGCACCAACCGCUGCUGUACUAGG